rnacentral:ncRNA from 1 species
GCAAAGUUUGAUCCUGGCUUUAGCUUUUUAUUACAAGAUAAAAGUACAUGUAAUUUUAAGAAAAUUCUAAUAGUUUCUAGAAAAAUUUAUAAGUCUCAGUACAAAAUAUUGGUUAAUGAAGUAAAUUUUGAACCAGUUAUUCUUUAAAGGUCAGGCCAAAUUUGUGCCAGCAGCCGCGGUUAGACUGAUAGAUUUAAUUAAGACAUUAAAGUAUAAUGAUUAAAAUUAAAAAAUAAUAAAGUCUUUUUUAUUAAAGUAUAAAAGUGAAAUUUAGUAUAAGAGGUAUAAAAAAGAUUGAAGUUAUUAAAUUUUGAAGUUAUUAAAGUUUGGGUUUAAACCAGGAUUAGAUACCCUGUUAUACCAAAACAGAAGUUAUUAUACUAGAGUAGUAAAUAGUUAUAAGCUGGAAACUUAAAGGAUUUGGCGGUAUUUUAGUCUAGUUAGAGGAACCUGUUACUUAAACGAUAAACCACGAAACAUCUUACUUCUUCUUGUAAAACAGCUUGUAUACCGCCAUUAACAGGUAGUUUUUAUAAAAAGCUAUUAAAAUUAGUCUUAAAGGUUAAUAUAUUAGGUCAAGGUGCAGCUAAUGAUGAAGUGAAUUUAAUGGGUUACAAUAAUAAUAAGUUCGUAAACGAAGAAACUUUUUUAAAAGGGUUUUAAAGGAGGAUUUAAUUGUAAGGCUUUUUUAGUAAGAAAAUCUGAUAAGAGCUCUAAAAUAUGCACACAUCGCCCGUCGCUCUCAUUUUAACGUGAGAUAAGUCGUAACAUAGUAGGUGUGUUGGAAAAUAUACCUAGAAUUUC